rnacentral:rRNA from 1 species
GAUGAACGCUGGCGGCGUGCCUAAUACAUGCAAGUCGAGCGAACAGAUGAGGAGCUUGCUCCUCUGACGUUAGCGGCGGACGGGUGAGUAACACGUGGAUAACCUACCUAUAAGACUGGGAUAACUUCGGGAAGCCGGAGCUAAUACCGGAUAAUAUAUUGAACCGCAUGGUUCAAUAGUGAAAGACGGUUUUGCUGUCACUUAUAGAUGGAUCCGCGCCGCAUUAGCUAGUUGGUAAGGUAACGGCUUACCAAGGCAACGAUGCGUAGCCGACCUGAGAGGGUGAUCGGCCACACUGGAACUGAGACACGGUCCAGACUCCUACGGGAGCCAGCAGUAGGGAAUCUUCCGCAAUGGGCGAAAGCCUGACGGAGCAACGCCGCGUGAGUGAUGAAGGUCUUCGGCUCGUAAAACUCUGUUAUUAGGGAAGAACAAAUGUGUAAGUAACUAUGCACGUCUUGACGGUACCUAAUCAGAAAGCCACGGCUAACUACGUG